rnacentral:rRNA from 1 species
UUUUUAUCAAAAGAUAAAAAGGGAAAGAUUUAUUGGUAAGAGAUUAGCCUGUAUUGUAUCAGUUAGUUGGUGGGGUAAUGGCCUACCAAGACGAUGACGCAUAACUGGUUUGAGAGGAUGAUCAGUCACACUGGAACUGAGACACGGUCCAGACUCCUACGGGAGGCAGCAGUGGGGAAUAUUGCACAAUGGACGAAAGUCUGAUGCAGCAACGCCGCGUGGAGGAUGACACAUUUCGGUGCGUAAACUCCUUUUAUAUAAGAAGAUAAUGACGGUAUUAUAUGAAUAAGCACCGGCUAACUCCGUGCCAGCAGCCGCGGUAAUACGGAGGGUGCAAGCGUUACUCGGAAUCACUGGGCGUAAAGAGCGUGUAGGCGGAUUGAUAAGUUUGAAGUGAAAUCCUAUAGCUUAACUAUAGAACUGCUUUGAAAACUGUUAAUCUAGAAUGUGGGAGAGGUAGAUGGAAUUUCUGGUGUAGGGGUAAAAUCCGUAGAGAUCAGAAGGAAUACCGAUUGCGAAGGCGAUCUACUGGAACAAUAUUGACGCUGAGACGCGAAAGCGUGGGGAGCAAACAGGAUUAGAUACCCUGGUAGUCCACGCCCUAAACGAUGUACACUAGUUGUUGUGAGGCUCGACCUUGCAGUAAUGCAGUUAACACAUUAAGUGUACCGCCUGGGGAGUACGGUCGCAAGAUUAAAACUCAAAGGAAUAGACGGGGACCCGCACAAGCGGUGGAGCAUGUGGUUUAAUUCGACGAUACACGAAGAACCUUACCUGGACUUGACAUAGUAAGAAUGAUUUAGAGAUAGAUUAGUGUCUGCUUGCAGAAACUUGCAUACAGGUGCUGCACGGCUGUCGUCAGCUCGUGUCGUGAGAUGUUGGGUUAAGUCCCGCAACGAGCGCAACCCUCGUCCUUAGUUGCUAACAGUUCGGCUGAGAACUCUAAGGAGACUGCCUACGCAAGUAGGAGGAAGGUGAGGAUGACGUCAAGUCAUCAUGGCCCUUACGUCCAGGGCUACACACGUGCUACAAUGGGGUAUACAAAGAGCAGCAAUACGGUGACGUGGAGCAAAUCUCAAAAAUGCCUCCCAGUUCGGAUUGUAGUCUGCAACUCGACUACAUGAAGUUGGAAUCGCUAGUAAU